rnacentral:lncRNA from 1 species
UAUGGAAAUGCCAAUUGAUUUAUAUCUAACGAAAUCGAGACUUCAUUUCCUUCCUCUGCCAAUCUGAUGGGAGCUAGUUCUGGUGUAACUUUUAGAACUGCCUCAUGUGCGAAUGUACGAUUGGAUUCUCCAAUUUCGUGUACUACAUCCCCUGAAUUGGCAGUCAGUGCCAAUAAAUUCUAUUUACCUUGUUGAGGUA